rnacentral:rRNA from 1 species
GACGAACCGAGCGAACGUUGUUCGGAAUCACUGGGCUUAAAGGGCGCGUAGGCGGGUGCUCAAAUCUGUGGUGAAAUCCUCCGGCUCAACCGGAGAACUGCCAUGGAUACUGGUUGUCUCGAGGGUGGUAGGGGUAUGCGGAACUAUCGGUGGAGCGGUGAAAUGCGUUGAUAUCGAUAGGAACUCCGGUGGCGAAGGCGGCAUACUGGACCACAUCUGACGCUGAGGCGCGAAAGCCAGGGGAGCAAACGGG